GAAUUUUGGACAAUGGGCGAAAGCCUGAUCCAGCAAUGCCGCGUGCAGGAUGAAGGCCUUCGGGUUGUAAACUGCCUUUGUACGGAACGAAAAGUUUUGGGCUAAUACCCUGGAGUCAUGACGGUACCGUAAGAAUACGCACCGGCUACCUACGUGCCAGCAGCCGCGGUAAUACGUAGGGUGCAAGCGUUAAUCGGACUUACUGUGCGGAAAACGGGCGCAGUCUGGUUUGGAAGACAGAGGUGGAAUACCCGGGCUCAACCUGGGAGCUGCCUUUGUGACUGCAAUGGUAGAGUACGGCAGAGGGGGGUGGAAGUACGCGUGUAGCAGUGAAAUGCGUAGAUAUGCGGAGGAACACCGAUGGCGAAGGCAACCCCCUGGGCCUGUACUGACGCUCAUGCACGAAAGCGUGGGGAGCAAACA
rnacentral:rRNA from 1 species